rnacentral:rRNA from 1 species
CCCUUAGAUGUCCUGGGCCGCACGCGUGCUACACUGACGCAUACAGCGAGCACUUUCCAGUUCCGAGAGGCUACUGGUAAUCAUCAAUAUGCGUCGUGAUGGGGAUAGAUCUUUGGAAUUCUGGAUCUUGAACGAGGAAUGCCUAGUAAUCGCAGGUCAUUGGCCUGCGAUGAUUAAGUCCCUGCCCUUUGUACACACCGCCCGUCGCUACUACCGAUUUCGAGUGGUCAGGUGAAUCUUUCGGACUGUGGGCGCCCUUGAGGUGUUCGCGGAAAGUCAGGUAAAUCUUAUCACUUAGAGGAAGUAAAAGUCGUAACA